rnacentral:rRNA from 1 species
GGGUUCCUGUCCAACGUUAAUCGGGGCAGGGUGAGUCGACCCCUAAGGCGAGGCCGAAAGGCGUAGUCGAUGGGAAACGGGUUAAUAUUCCCGUACUUGGUGUUACUGCGAAGGGGGGACGGAGAAGGCUAUGUUGGCCGGGCGACGGUUGUCCCGGUUUAAGCGUGUAGGUAUGUGUUCCAGGUAAAUCCGGUUCACUUUAACACUGAGGCGUGACGACGAGGCACUACGGUGCUGAAGCAACAAAUGCCCUGCUUCCAGGAAAAGCCUCUAAGCAUCAGGUAACAUCAAAUCGUACCCCAAACCGACACAGGUGGUCAGGUAGAGAAUACCAAGGCGCUUGAGAGAACUCGGGUGAAGGAACUAGGCAAAAUGGUGCCGUAACUUCGGGAGAAGGCACGCUGACACGUAGGUGAAGUGAUUUACUCACGGAGCUGAAGUCAGCCGAAGAUACCAGCUGGCUGCAACUGUUUAUUAAAAACACAGCACUGUGCAAACACGAAAGUGGACGUAUACGGUGUGACGCCUGCCCGGUGCCGGAAGGUUAAUUGAUGGGGUCAGCGCAAGCGAAGCUCCUGAUCGAAGCCCCGGUAAACGGCGGCCGUAACUAUAACGGUCCUAAGGUAGCGAAAUUCCUUGUCGGGUAAGUUCCGACCUGCACGAAUGGCGUAAUGAUGGCCAGGCUGUCUCCACCCGAGACUCAGUGAAAUUGAACUCGCUGUGAAGAUGCAGUGUACCCGCGGCAAGACGGAAAGACCCCGUGAACCUUUACUAUAGCUUGACACUGAACAUUGAGCCUUGAUGUGUAGGAUAGGUGGGAGGCUUUGAAGUGUGGACGCCAGUCUGCAUGGAGCCGACCUUGAAAUACCACCCUUUAAUGUUUGAUGUUCUAACGUGGACCCGUGAUCCGGGUUGCGGACAGUGUCUGGUGGGUAGUUUGACUGGGGCGGUCUCCUCCUAAAGAGUAACGGAGGAGCACGAAGGUUGGCUAAUCCUGGUCGGACAUCAGGAGGUUAGUGCAAUGGCAUAAGCCAGCUUGACUGCGAGCGUGACGGCGCGAGCAGGUGCGAAAGCAGGUCAUAGUGAUCCGGUGGUUCUGAAUGGAAGGGCCAUCGCUCAACGGAUAAAAGGUACUCCGGGGAUAACAGGCUGAUACCGCCCAAGAGUUCAUAUCGACGGCGGUGUUUGGCACCUCGAUGUCGGCUCAUCACAUCCUGGGGCUGAAGUAGGUCCCAAGGGUAUGGCUGUUCGCCAUUUAAAGUGGUACGCGAGCUGGGUUUAGAACGUCGUGAGACAGUUCGGUCCCUAUCUGCCGUGGGCGCUGGAGAACUGAGGGGGGCUGCUCCUAGUACGAGAGGACCGGAGUGGACGCAUCACUGGUGUUCGGGUUGUCAUGCCAAUGGCACUGCCCGGUAGCUAAAUGCGGAAGAGAUAAGUGCUGAAAGCAUCUAAGCACGAAACUUGCCCCGAGAUGAGUUCUCCCUGAGACUUUAGGUCUCCUGAAGGAACGUUGAAGACGACGACGUUGAUAGGCCGGGUGUGUAAGCGCAGCGAUGCGUUGAGCUAACCGGUACUAAUGAACCGUGAGGCUUAACCUUACAACGCCGAAG